rnacentral:rRNA from 1 species
UACGGGGGGAGCAAGCGUUGUUCGGAUUUACUGGGCGUAAAAGGCGCGUAGGCGGCGCGACAAGUCACUUGUGAAAUCUCUGGGCUCAACCCAGAACGGUCAAGUGAUACUGUCGUGCUAGAGUGCGGAAGGGGCAACUGGAAUUCUUGGUGUAGCGGUGAAAUGCGUAGAUAUCAAGAGGAACACCUGCGGCGAAGGCGGGUUGCUGGGCCGACACUGACGCUGAGGCGCGAAAGCUAGGGGAGCGAACGGG